UGGUUAGGCCUAAGGUCUGAGUAAUAGUACUAGUAGUAUUGGUAUUACUAAGACCCUACUACAGAGUACAACUAGUCGCGGUGGAUCUGAGAUUUAGAAAUUGGAUGAUAAUUUAUUAUGAAUUUAAGUGGCAUGGGGCUGGAGAGAGGAGUAAUGUACGUAGUUUACUUCGCCAGUCAAAUAUCAAUUCACGACAAGAAGUAGGAAGAAUGAAAGUGGAACAAUUUUUGUGGUUAUAAUCCCUGAAACUGCAGAAAAUGAAAUAAAACAGAUAAGUAACUUAUUCAUUGACGCUGUCGCCGAGGUCACCUCAACCAGGGACAUGACCUGGUGGUAGCGUGCGGAGCUGCGUAUCAGAAAAUCCAAGGGUUUGAUAUGCUACUGGUAAUGCUCUGCUUUUGCAACUGAAGGGGCAUCAUGGCCGUUGACAGUCAAUCCCACUGAUCGGGUGCUGCAGACAAGUUGCUCUCCUUCAAGUUAGCAGUUUUAAGGUUUAACGAGGCAAGAAUAAUAUUGAGCCCAUUCCGAGACAUUUUGGAAGACUGAAUCGGGUGUUUGAAGAGUAUGACGACCUUCCAACAGUAGGAAAUGCGGAUUCUUUUUUCACUAUAGGGCAACAGUGGCCCAGACGAUACUUGAUUAACAAGGCAAAGAAUGAAGGGCUGUACAAGAAGAGAACCUUCGACGAAAUUGAUAGAGCUGCUUUUGGAGGUCUUAAGAAACGACCCUUCCACAAAAUUGACAUGGCUGCAUUUAAUGGUUUCCAAAAGCGCGAAUAAUAGAUUGUGCUUGUACUAAAUGUUGUCUGAUGUAAAAACACCUGUUUUGUUCACUUAAACAGCAGGUCAUAAAUAUUGCAGAUCACGACACGAUGAAGUUUAAAUAAUCACACAAAAAGAUAAUGUAUUGAUUAUUAUAUUACAUAAUUUUAUAAUAUAUUUUCAUUAUAUGUGCAUACUUCUUUUUGUUUGAUGAAAACAUAACAGUACUUAACGAAUGUGUUUAUUUGUGAUUAAAUCAAAGAACUAAAAUUUUAAUUCGUAAAACAUUUAUACUAUUCCCAACCUCACUUGGGAUUUUAUUUUAGUGUAAAAUAAUUUCAGAUUGAAGCCUAUUCACGCACAUUCUGAAUAUUUAUAUGUGGCAACUGAAGCUUUGAAUUGAUACUCUUUAUAUUCUAUACAUCUGUGUUGGAUUAAUGUUUGCACAACCUGGGAAAAUUUACUGUCAUAUAUUUCCAUGUAAGGACAUGGAUUAGCUACACCAUUCAGAGAAACUAAAUGUAAUAAAAUCAGUCUCUUAACAGGCAAGUUAGAAUUUCGAAUUUAUCGUUUAAAAGUAAUUAAGUUUGUUUGUUUUUCUUAUACCGUAAUGGUAACAAUUUUCAUUUUUCUUACCUGUUUAAACGGAUUCUCUUCAUUUUCCCUUUAAAAUAUUUUUUGAAUCUUGUUAUCGUAUAUGUAUUGUAAAGAAAAUUGUUCUUGUAAACCCAUCAUGUCAUGUAUGAAAUAAUACCAAUUCUUCUAAAUAUUCAAUAUUAAAACCCUUAGCUAAUCGUCAUUAAAUAUUGUUGG